rnacentral:rRNA from 1 species
UACGGUGGGAGCAAGCGUUGUUCGGAUUUACUGGGCGUAAAGGGCUCGUAGGCGGCCAACUAAGUCAGACGUGAAAUCCCUCGGCUUAACCGGGGAACUGCGUCUGAUACUGGAUGGCUAGAGGUUGGGAGAGGGAUGCGGAAUUCCAGGUGUAGCGGUGAAAUGCGUAGAUAUCUGGAGGAACACCGGUGGCGAAGGCGGCAUCCUGGACCAAUUCUGACGCUGAGGAGCGAAAGCCAGGGGAGCAAACGGG